UCAUUCCUUUAAUAUUGAUACUUUGAAAUUUUGAAAAUAAACUAGGAUUAGAUACCCUAUUAUUUUUUAGUGUAAAAUUGAUUUUAUUUACCUAA